rnacentral:misc_RNA from 1 species
CUCUCAUCGAAGCUGGCACUGGAAGCUUCCUCCAUAAAUCCAAACUAAACUGCACCGAGGGAGAAAUCAGAGACGAAAAUGAAGGUGGCGAGAUUGGCACGCAUGGCAGCAAUGGCGCGGAACAAGCUCUUAUGCUCUUCACAUUUGGCUUCCAUGCACAUCUCUACUCCUACAUCUCGCCAAAUAAGCAUGAAGACAGAGGGUCUUACUGCUCGGCUUAAUAGUGCUGGUCUGUUAAGGACCCAGGGUCUUAUUGGAGGGAAAUGGACAGAUGCAUAUGAUGGGAAGACAAUUCAGGUCCUUAAUCCCGCAACUGGUGAAGUUGUAGCAGAUGUCCCAUGCAUGGGUGGAAAAGAGACAAAUGAUGCAAUUUCUUCUGCUCAUGAUGCAUUUUAUUCUUGGAGCAAUCUCACUUGCACUGAGAGGAGCAAGCAUUUACGAACAUGGUAUAACUUAUUAAUUUCCCACAAAGAAGAACUUGGACAACUAAUAACCUUAGAGCAAGGAAAACCUCUAAAAGAAGCCAUCGGUGAGGUUAACUAUGGAGCCAGUUUUAUUGAGUUCUUUGCGGAGGAGGCAAAGCGUGUAUAUGGUGACAUAAUCCCAGCAACUCUUGGUGAUCGUCGGUUGUUGGUUCUAAAGCAGCCUGUUGGGGUGGUUGGUGCAAUUACUCCGUGGAACUUUCCAUUGGCCAUGAUCACUCGUAAGGUUUGUUCAACUUGGGAUGAUUAGGAUCCGAUUGUUUUGGUGGUUUUGAACGACUUUCUGGUUUAAGAUGAAAUGCUUCUUUUCCUCGCACAUUCAGGUUGGUCCUGCCCUUGCUUGUGGUUGUACAGUAGUUAUAAAGCCCUCUGAACUUACACCUCUCACAGCCUUAGCAGCCGCGGAGCUAGCCCUGCAAGCUGGAAUACCACCGGGGGUUCUGAAUGUGGUUAUGGGAAAUGCUCCUGAUAUUGGAAACGCUUUACUAGCUAGUUCACAGGUGAGAAAGAUCACAUUCACAGGCUCUACGGCUGUGGGAAAGAAGUUGAUGGAAGGUGCUGCUGGAACUGUUAAAAGGGUGUCUUUGGAACUCGGUGGCAAUGCACCCUGCAUAAUUUUUGAUGAUGCAGACCUUGACGUUGCAGUAAAAGGAUCUGUAAGUUAAAGUACUUGUCUAUGUGUAUUGUGUAUGGAAGCUACUAACCCAUAAAUUUUUGGGUUCCAUUAUUCUGGAGUCUAAUAUCUUGUCUCAUAACUUGUUGAUCUUGUAUUAGCUGCUAACAUUUUUUCUUGGUUUAUCAACAUGGGCUUCAAUUCAAUCAGUUGCUAAAAUUAACUGUCAUUGCUAUAAUAUUUAUAACAGAUUUCUUUGUUAUCAUUUGUUGCUAGGUUGUAAAUUGGUUAGGGUGAUUUGUUUUAUAGCAUUGGUAUUACACAUUUUUGAUAUAUUGGGAGCUGCAUCCCACAUGAGCAGUUCGGACUUGUGAUGGACUUGUGAUGCACUCUGUCAUUGCUAUUCUUGAUGCUUGAUUGCAGCCUAGGAAGAGAGACUUCACUUGAUGUCAUUAUCAAGUAAGAUGAACUGUCCUGUUCUUUUGUUUUAAAGACAGAGGCUUAUUUUUCCUCUUACCUGUAGAGUUGUUUGCUGGCUGCAAAAGAGUGCCUUGUAGAGAUACAAGGUCUCUAUAACCAGGGCCACACUAGCCUUGGAUACUUGAGAAGUAAGAGGACAUCCAGUAUUUAAAAGACGUAUAGCCCAUUGCAUAGGUUAGAUUGAAUGACUAUUUAACUCAUGGGAAUUAAAUAAAAUUUCUGAUAAUGCAGAGGCUUUAGUUCAGUUCUUCAAAAGGGUUCUUGUAUGAUUAUUGAUUUCUUUUUCAAUUUUUAGUUUAUGACUUACCAUUUAAUUGUUGUAGCUUGCAGCAAAGUUCCGUAAUAGUGGGCAAACGUGUGUUUGUGCUAAUCGAUUGAUUGUACAAGAAGGUAUCUAUGACAAAUUUGCUGAGGCUUUUUCAAAAGCUGUUCAAAAUUUGCAAGUUGGGGAUGGCUUUAGUGAGGGGGUGGUACAGGGUCCAUUAAUUAAUGAAUCUGCAGUGCAAAAGGUUGAAUCAUUUGUUCAAGAUGCUAUCUCAAAGGGAGCAAAAGUUCUUCUUGGGGGCAAAAGACAUAGCCUUGGAAUGACUUUCUAUGAGCCAACAGUAAUCGGUGAUGUCAAGAGUGAGAUGAUUUUAUCCAGAGAGGAAGUAUUUGGACCAGUGGCGCCACUCAUGCGGUUCAAAACAGAGGAGGAAGCUAUCUCCAUUGCUAAUAACACAAAUGCAGGAUUAGCAGCAUAUAUUUUCACAAACAAUAUUCAACGUUCAUGGCGUGUCACUGAAGCACUUGAGUAUGGACUUGUUGGUGUCAAUGAAGGACUUAUUUCAACAGAGGUGGCUCCAUUUGGAGGAGUAAAACAGUCUGGCAUAGGACGGGAAGGCUCCAAGUAUGGGAUGGAUGAAUAUCUGGAGCUGAAAUAUGUAUGCUUAGGAGAUAUGAACAGAAAGUGAGAUGCAAGGUAGUUCGCAGGUUAUAGUUUUGGUGGGAUGGUUGAUGUCGGAGGCAUAGAAGAUGAGCAGCGUAGUGGUCCUUAUGCUUUGUGUAUGUAAUAAGUGCAAUGUCCAAGCAUAUCUGAAUGACAAAUGUUUCUUUGCUUGGCCUGUUGUAUAAUACUUUUUUUCAGUCCUUCCUCUUUAUUGGGCUGAAUGCUUAUCAUUAGUUUUUGUUUUCAUUUUCAUGCACAAAUGGAUAGUUUUGAGUUUUUAACAUAGUUGGGUUUUCAAGGUUGUGUUUAUCGGGAUCAUUUUGCUGAUCAUCUUAUCCAUAAUAAGAAGGAAAUGGUAAUGAAUUUUGGCAAGAAGGGGUUACGUAAUGCCUUUGUAAAAUAGAAAAGAUUGUGGCGCUCAAUACAUGGUACUAAUUGCAAUGAUAGUUGAGAUGGUUGGUGAUCGUGGAAUGAUUGUUAUGGUCUUUGGAUGAUUAAUUUUGAUGUAGUAGUAAUUCUGGAAUAGGAAAAUGAUGGUGAUAUUGCUGAACAAUAGUGAUUAUUACCCCUUGAAUGAAUAGACUAGGGCCUGCUUUCCUUUCCCUUUCCUGAAAUGUGCCGAGGUUUCGGUUAUUUCUUGUGGAGUCAUUUUAUUUUAUUUUUCAGAUGGAUUAGGAUUGGGUGAUUUUAGAUUGGGGUUGAUUUUGUGUAUCUAUCAAAUUGCUGUAUAGAAAAAUAUUUGACUAAAAUUUAAAUUAAUUUG